rnacentral:tRNA from 1 species
UUAACCAAAACCAAAAAGAGGUAUAUUAUUGUUAAUAAUAAAAUUGAAAAAUUGAUUUUCUGGUUAAG